rnacentral:pre_miRNA from 1 species
UUUAAGUGUGACUGUGAAUUUUUAUAUAAAAAAUUUGACAAUUCGUUUUAUUUUAAACUUUUUUAUGAUUAGUAUUUUUGUUAUUGUUAGAUGAUAAAAUAUAAAUAAUACUUUAUGCGUAAUUUAUUUUUUAAGAAAAUAAUUUAUAUUUUUUAAAUAAGACGGACGGUUAAACGUCAGUCACGGAAACCCCAAAUGCAUUUAAA